rnacentral:rRNA from 1 species
UGGGGAAUAUUGCACAAUGGGCGCAAGCCUGAUGCAGCCAUGCCGCGUGUAUGAAGAAGGCCUUCGGGUUGUAAAGUACUUUCAGUCGGGAGGAAGGUGUCAAGGUUAAUAACCUUUGCUCAUUGACGUUACCCGCAGAAGAAGCACCGGCUAACUCCGUGCCAGCAGCCGCGGUAAUACGGAGGGUGCAAGCGUUAAUCGGAAUUACUGGGCGUAAAGCGCACGCAGGCGGUCUGUCAAGUCGGAUGUGAAAUCCCCGGGCUCAACCUGGGAACUGCAUUCGAAACUGGCAGGCUAGAGUCUUGUAGAGGGGGGUAGAAUUCCAGGUGUAGCGGUGAAAUGCGUAGAGAUCUGGAGGAAUACCGGUGGCGAAGGCGGCCCCCUGGACAAAGACUGACGCUCAGGUGCGAAAGCGUGGGGAGCAAACAGG